UACGUAGGCAGCAAGCGUUGUUCGGAGUUACUGGGCGUAAAGGGUGUGUAGGCGGUUCUUUAAGUUUGGUGUGAAAUCUCCCGGCUCAACUGGGAGGGUGCGCCGAAUACUGAGGGACUAGAGUACGGGAGAGGAAAGUGGAAUUCCUGGUGUAGCGGUGAAAUGCGUAGAUAUCAGGAGGAACACCUGCGGUGUAGACAGCUUACUGGACCACUUCUGACGCUGAGACACGAAAGCGUGGGUAGCAAACAGG
rnacentral:rRNA from 1 species